rnacentral:rRNA from 1 species
UACGUAGGGUGCGAGCGUUGUCCGGAAUUAUUGGGCGUAAAGCGCGCGCAGGCGGCCUUUUAAGUCUGAUGUGAAAGCCCACGGCUCAACCGUGGAAGGUCAUUGGAAACUGAAAGGCUUGAGUACAGAAGAGGAAAGCGGAAUUCCACGUUGUAGCGGUGAAAUGCGUAGAGAUGUGGAGGAACACCAGUGGCGAAGGCGGCAUCCUGGACCGGACAUUGACGCUGAACGGCGAAAGCUAGGGGAGCAAACGGG